GAAUAUUAAGACUUCAAUAUAUAUUGAAUUUCAGUAAAUGCCAAGUACAGAUAGAAACAUCGAUAAGGAGGAGUAUUGGAAAAUUAUUCACAUUCCAGACAAGGCACCUAUUCCACCACAUUUGCAACCCACAGUGAAUGCCUAUGCUUCAGUAAUUAAUCCAAAACAUGCUAACACACUUAUAAGGAGGUUGAAUAAGAUUUCUCCACUCGAAGAUCUUCGCCAUGUGAAGCGCAUAUGCAAGAAGUGUGUUGAAGGAAACGUUCAGUUAUUGGUGAUAUUAUGUCUGGCUUCUGAUGGGAGUGACCAGUCGGAAAACAUACCCAGUGAAAUGGUCGAGCUAAUCAAGUCAUACCAGUUGAGUACAUUUAUCACAAAAGUAUCCAAAUAUGCAGCUACAUCAAAAGAAGAAUGGGAAGAACAGUGCAAGCUAUGGCCAACUUCAUAUCAUCCACCAACCUACAACAUAGACGGCAUCACUGGAUUUAGUGAAGAAAACUCACAAUCAGUUUGUGAGUUCAUGAAAUUAGCUAUUGAUUUGGCAAAAUCUGUUGAUGGUCAGAUUGUAAAUGCUGCUGUUAUUGUUAAUCCAGCAUCUAAUCAAGUGGUAGCAAGAUCGUGUGAUCAGGUUUUUUCGCAGAAUAAUCCUUCAACAAGGAACAGUGCUGGAGAAGGGUACCUAGAACCAUGUAAAUUGACAUCUUCUUCCAUCAGUAAUGGACUGCAAACCUAUACAAAUUCAAGUUCAAACUCUUCCUUCAAUGAACAGAAGAGAACAUAUGGUGGCGUUUCUUGUUUACAUCCUUGGCAGUGGGCUGAACAACAGUCCCAAGCAAGUUGUUUUCGCCACCCUUUUCACCAUGCUGCUAUGGUUGCUAUCGACAAUUCUGCUGCCAGAGAUAGAUAUCUCUUCCCUGCUAGUGAACAUAUAGUUGAUAAAUGCUGUCAGGCUGAAGUUAUGGAUUCACCUUCUACAGUAUCUCCGUCUAAAAAGCAAAAGACUGAAACAAAGGUGGAGGAUUCUGGAAUACAAAAUGGCGAACAUAAUGCCUGUGGUUCCAUGCCAGUCAGACCCUACUUAUGUACUGGUUAUGACAUAUACCUUGUUUGGGAACCAUGCAUUAUGUGUGCCAUGGCACUUGUUCAUCAGCGGAUUAAGCGUAUAUUUUACACUUUUCCUAAUCACAAUGCUGGGGCGCUUGGAAGUUUGCACAGAUUGCAAGGAGAAAAAAGCUUAAAUCACCACUAUGCUGUUUUCAGAGUCUUUUUACCAGAAUCUAUAUUGGAUAGAGAUGAUGUUGUCACUGCUGUUUCUGGAAGUGAUAAAAACAAAACACAUGUUCUAUAGGAGGUAUGUACUUGCAAUUAAUUAUGCCCCUUGUUUUUUAUAGGAGGGAACACUUCCAUACUACCAUGGUAGCAGAUCAUCUCCAAGAGACUCUCUAAUUGAGCUCUUAAGUAGAAAAAUAAAGAGCCAUGUCCAAAAUAGAGCUCCAAGAGACUCUUAGAGGCUUUUUAAAAAGUAUACUGUACAAAUUAUCUCACUUGUGAAUUGUGAUUGAGCCUCUAUACUGCAAGGAAGAUGUUUACUUGGGUAGAAGGGGGCAAUUUACCCCUAUAGCUGUUAGGAAAAUUUUCCUCUGUAAAAGAGGGCAAUAGAGCCUAGAUAUUUAGUAAAAUGAACUGUACUACAUAAGACUAGUUGAUAUGUGAUUGGUUAAUGUACUGGCAUUAGUCUAGACUCAACUUUAAAUCCUUGAGCAAUUUUUGGGUGUUGGCCUCGAGUAUCACAAUUUGUAAGAAAAUGACCCGAAACACCGGUGCCGGUGCCGAAGAAGAUGGCCACGACUUAUAAUUUUUAUAUGUAAAACGCUAAAUCGUGUUGCUUCUA